UGACAGGCUCUGGGGCAGGGCUCUUCAGUUGGUGGGUUGUGAUGAUAACACCAGCUCUGAGUACAGGAGAUUUUCAUUUGAUGAGUGGUCUGAACAUCUACUUAGUGGUUAUAAAAUAUUUGCUGCUGAAAGCCACAGAGCAUUGAUAAACAGAUCCUGGACAGCUGAGUUAUUGCAAUCUACUUAACAUGAGGAGAACAAAUUAUUAUGCUUUACUUUAACACAUGCAGAAAAGGAUGGAUUCAUCUCAUUCAUGGGAAACAGAUGAGGAAUACAUUUUCUGUGAAUGCUAUUUCAAAAAAUAUGGGGUCUCACUAUGUUGUCCAUGCUGAUCUCAAACUCCUGGGCUCAAGCAAUCUUCCCACCUCAGCCUCCCAAAGUGCUGGGAUUACAGGAGCACAAAGGAAAGGCCAUGCGAGGACACAGGGAGAAGACAGGCCCCUACCAGUCAGGAAGGGAGCCCUCACCAGAAACUGAGCUGGCCAGCACAAUGGUCUUGGACUUGUAGCUCCAGAACUGUGAGGAAAUAAAUUUCUGUUGUUGAAGCC
rnacentral:lncRNA from 1 species